AAAGGUGAAAUUAGAUUAUUUCUUUUAAUAUAGAAACUUUAAUUGAAGCUAAUAAUUUUUAGGCUUAAACUAGGAUUAGAUACCCUAUUAUACUGAUAAGGACAAGAAAAGCUCGGAUUACUAAUAGUUAUAUUCUUGAAAUUUAAAGAAUUUGGCGGUGAUUUAGUCUUGUUAGAGGAACCUGUUUUUGAAUCGAUAUUCCACGUAAAAUCUUACUCAAGUUUAUAUACCGUCAUUAUCAGAUAAUUUUUAAAAAAUUAAUUAUUAAAUUUUAAAAGAGAUUAAGUAAAAUUAGAUCCAGGUGUAGCUUAUAAGUGAGUUAAAAUGGGUUACAAUAAAAUUUAUUUAAUACGGAGUAAUUAUUAAUGAAGGAGGAUUUAAUUGUAUACAAGUUUAAUAAGCUUAAAAGAUAUAAGCUCUAAAUCAUGUACAUAUCGCCCGUCGCUUUC
rnacentral:rRNA from 1 species